GAUGAAGAACGUAGCGAAAUGCGAUAAGUAAUGUGAAUUGCAGAAUUCAGUAAAUCAUCGAAUCUUUGAACGCACAUUGCGCCCCUUGGUAUUCCGAGGGGCAUGCCUGUUCGAGCGUCAUUAUAACCCCUCAAGCUCAGCUUGGUGUUGGGGCCUGCUGCACUGGCAGCCCUUAAAAUCAGUGGCGGCGCCAUCUGGCUCUAAGCGUAGUAAUUCUUCUCGCUAUGGAGUCCUGGUGGAUGCUUGCCAUCAACCCCCAAUUUUUCUAUGGUUGACCUCGGAUCAGGUAGGGAUACCCGCUGAACUUAAGCAUAUCAAUAAGCGGAGGA
rnacentral:misc_RNA from 1 species